rnacentral:pre_miRNA from 1 species
CCAAAGCAGUAGAGUCGUUCACUCUCCCUCAAGGGCUUCGCCACAAUCCAAAUCAUGCUGAACAGGUGGGUGGGUUGAUGCUGAAGUCCUUGGGGUUGAGUGAUCGACGCCUGUUUUUUAACUCGCUAAUGACGAUCGCAGAAGACAACUCGAAGGCUA